CAGAUCCGGCCCCCUAUCAGAAAAUAGACACUGUCGUCCAAAUUCACUGCGCUUUUUCUGAUAUGUGUAUAAAACAUUGCAUGCUCAGUAUGGUGUGGUUGGGUUGGACCAAAUUAAUUUAAAAUUCAAGGGUUUAAUUUUCGGUUGUAGUUAUUCUAGGAUCAAAUAAUACAGAACUUAAUCCUCAACGUUUUGAAUUCGAAGAGCGUUCAGAAGAGUUAAAAUUAUUGCACAAUUUUUCCUCACUAUUAGCGAUUAGCAUGAAACUUUCAUAUUUUUCAAGUGACUGCUGUCUUCAGUUACUUGGUUUACACAAGAAAUCAACAAUUUUUAAUAUUCAAAAUAAUAAUUAGAGCCACUGCAAAAUAUGGCAAAUCCAUGUGCAAACUUUAAGGUGUUACAAUUAGGCUGUAUGUAGAAAGUUAAUAAAUAACAAUAUCAACAGUUAA